rnacentral:rRNA from 1 species
AUGGUGCCCGGCGGUGGUGGCGCUAGAUGGGUCAACGCGGGGGCGGCGCGAAGUUGCACUGGUGGGCGCGCGGUGGCGGCUCGGGCCGGCCAGAUCUGGCUCGUUGGGGCCGCAACGCUGAGCGGCCCGGUCUGGGCACUCUGUGUCCGGACGCUGGGUUCUCGGAUGGUGCAGCGGCGUCACCAUUCAUGCUCCGACCAAGAUGGAAGGAGCGGCAGGCUCCAGAUCCGGUGGUGGGUGCGCCCGGGGCGAGGUCCCUGGCGUAGGUGCGCAUUUCUCCGGACGAAAGUCUGGCUUUUAGCCGGUGAUGGCAACACCUGUGGAUGUUGCUUCCUUGUUGAAGGCAUCACCGAGGAGUUUUCGCAUCUACCCUGCUCGAGUUCGGUCUUCGGGUGA